GGUCUAUGGGUUGUAAACCUCUUUUUUCAGGGAGGAAUCAAUGACGUGUACCUGAAGAAUAAACAUCGGCUAACUCCGUGCCAGCAGCCGCGGUAAGACGGAGGAUGCAAGUGUUAUCCGGAAUCACUGGGCGUAAAGCGUCUGUAGGUGGUUUAAUAAGUCAACUGUUAAAUCUUGAGGCCCAACCUCAAAAUCGCAGUCGAAACUAUUAGACUAGAGUAUAGUAGGGGUAAAGGGAAUUUCCAGUGGAGCGGUGAAAUGCGUAGAGAUUGGAAAGAACACCGAUGGCGAAGGCACUUUACUGGGCUAUUACUAACACUCAGAGACGAAAGCUAGGGUAGCAAAUGGGAUUAGAUACCCCAGUAGUCCUGGCCGUAAACGAUGAACACUAGGUGUCGGGGGAAUCGACCCCUUCGGUGUCGUAGCUAACGCGUUAAGUAUCCCGCCUGGGAAGUAUGCUCGCAAGAGUGAAACUCAAAGGAAUUGACGG
rnacentral:rRNA from 1 species